UUUUUUUUUUUUUAAUCCUUUUUAUUUUUUUAAUAGCUAAGUGGUUUGACUGGUUUUCAGUGGUAGACCACGUGGAAAUGAGAAUAUUUAUCAUGUCUAUGAUCUGGUAAUUUUUAUGUACCAGAUUACACAAUGUAUGAAAUAAAAGAUGUGGUCAGUCCAGCAACUUGGACAAGCAUGGCUUUGCUUCUGUGAAGAAUGGGUCCCUAGCACACCAUGGUAGGGGUAGAGGCCACAGACUGAAGUGCUUGUUAAAUAGAUAAGUGCUUGUUAAAAUGCAGAUUCACAGGCCAGGAACUGGCCUCUCUUGAGUCAGAGUGGGAUACAGAGACCUGGGUCUCCAGGGGCAAGUGACUGAGAUCUGAGGACCUGAGCCCACACCUGGGUCAUCUGUUCCAUAGAGAAGUAACAAGCAUAACCAGCUCUUAAAGGUGUCAGCAGCUACUCCAGGGAAUGUCGUCUGGCUGGGUGUGGUGUGCACACUGUUAGUCCCAGCACUCGGGAGGCAGAGGCAGGGGCUUCUUCAAGUUUGAGGCUAGCCUGGUCUAAUAGAGAGUCUUGGGCCAACCAGGCUACCUAAUAAGACCCUGUCUCCAAAAAAAAAAAAAAAAAAAGAGAGUAAGAAAGACGAUGCCUGCUGAGUAAUGAAUCUUGGCUUUGUUUCUGAAUUAAACUUCCCUGAUACCUGGGUUUGGCUAUCUCCUUUUCAACUUGAACCUUUUUAAUGAAUCCAAAGAUGCUACAAAUGAGCCUUGCUGGAAACCAUUCUUCCCAAACACAGAUUAGUUUAUAUGCAAGCAAUAAAGGCUUACCUUCUGGUUUUUAACUUCUUGGUACUUACAUGAAGCCUAAUGAAAAUACUUAUGUCACCAUGAAAGAACACCUGUACUUGUUAUAGGCCAAAUCAUGUCAUUUACAAUUUAUAUAUUCAAGUCCUGGAUCAGUCACUUCAGAAUGUGACUGAAUGUGGAAAGAAGGCAUUUAUUUAUUUGUUGGUUUGUUUUUAAAUUUUUGAGGCAGGGUUUCUCUGUAAUCCUGGCUGUCCUAGAACUUGUAAGGACCAGGCUGGCCUUGAACUGAGAUCCACUUGCCACUGCCUCUGGGUAGUAUUUGGUGCUGGGACUAAAGGCAUCACCACCCCCACACAGCUGGAGAGUAAGGCUUUAAAGAGGUAAUAAGGUUUAAAUGAAGCUGUUAGGUUUUCUCUUCCUUAAAGCAAACCUACUGAUAUCCUUAAAAGGGUAGGAAAUUAGAACACAGGAGAGCAGGCUGAAGCACAGUUGUCUGUCCCUGGCCUCAGAAGAAACCGACUCCUGACACCCCCAUCAUUGAUUGCCAGUCUCUAGAACCUUAAGAAAACAAUUAUUUUCUGUUAAAUCAGUCAGCUGCAGUGAACCAGUAUAGUCCAUUCCUUAGUUGUGAGCCACCAUGUGGUUACUGAGAAUUGAACUCGGAACUGCUGAAAGAGCGGUCAGUGUUCUUUAACCACUGAGCAAUCUCUCCAGCCACCCUGUUCAGAGACGUUUAAGACAUUAAGUAGCCAUUUAAUGUCUUUAUCUCAGGGUUCUGCAUCGGUCACUCUAUAUCAUACUGUAACUGUGUGUAUACUGCGCUAAGGUCAAGGAAGAAGCAAGUAGAGUAGGGUUCAGUGUAGACCAGAACAAAUGCAACAACCUGCUUGUUAGGGUUUUUCUUUGUAAAACCAGGAUUGCAUUAGGAAGGCAUCAGAUGGUGGGAGCACAAACCAGACGUGCACAGCUCCAGCAGGACUUGGUGUGAUUGGUUUCAAUUGAAGCAGACACAAAGCCCCUUCCAGAGUGAGAUGCCUUGAACUAUGUAGUGGCUUACAUACCUGGAAGUGUAGGAUGUAUCCUGCCACUGUCUACAAUCUACACCUCAAAACACAUCAGAAGAAUUCCUAUGAGUGGCCUUGAAAGAAAGCAUGUCUGGGGUGUAAGACUUCAACUCUUAGCAACGUGCUCUAGCUUAGCACAAUAGCAAGGGCAGGCUACCCCAGGUGAGAGAGGGACAAAGAGACUGAAGAAGGCAGAGCUCUCAGCAAAGUUUAACAAACCCAAAGGGAAGAGAAUGGUUUAUUACUUAUUGCAAACAUCACCACCCAUAAUUUCCAUAAUUUCCCUACUUGUUCUAUGCAAGAGUCAUCAUUAAUGGGUAUUAUUCUGAGACAAAAUUCCAUUGUUUUAAUUUUUACUAUUGAUCACUAGUAAUGCCAUGUUUUCCAUCUAUAAUUUACUUGUUAUUCUUCUUUUUUGAACUAUGCACUUAUGUUCUUGGGCUUUUUCUGAAGUUAUUCAUAUAUAAUUUCUUUCUGGACUCAUAAUCAUUUCUUAUCCAUUGGUGUUAGUAUUUAUGUUUUUGGUGAAGCCUAGUGAUGACUGUAUGUGUUCUGCCUUUGCUGUCAUGUCAUAACUGCAUUCCUGGGUAUUACGGUUGUAAGAAACAAAGGCUCACUCGUUGAAGCUCUAGAGAAAGAAGACGGGAAGAACUAAAAUCAUUGUGUAGACUAGACCUAAAACUGGAUGCUCAAGAACGCCAGAGGCCAGAGCAUUUCCCCCAAAUUCAGGCUCACAGCACAGCAGUGUGGGAGAAAAUUAGGCUGUCUAUACAUUUACAUUUUUAGACAGUGUAAACAUAUAUGACUAUGCAAAAGUAUGUACAUCCUGUUUAUAAAGUAUAAACUGAUACCAUGUUAUAGUUUACAUUUGCAAUGUGCGCCAACAUUUUAUUAACUUUUCAACAAACCCAAAAGGACCUACAUGGGCCCUUCCUCCAACACCACUACAAUGGCGGACCUGAUACUGUGAUGGUAGGACAACUUCAAGACCAUCACAAGACCUCAGUGCCCAGCAGCAGCAGAGGGGAAGGCUCUCUUUCUUACUCUGCCUGGGCUCUUAAAUUUGCAUCAUCCUCACAUGGAAAAUGGAUAAUGAGCUGCCAACUGCAGACCCACCCAGGAAUACUUCAGAUGGCUGGACUGUAAGAGUAGUGUUUCCAGCCCAUUCCACAAAAAAGGAAUUUAAAUGGGAACAAGGAUCGUUGGAGUGGUCUCACUGUUAGGCUGACACUGACCAGCUGUCUCUUUCCGUUCUUCCAUGAGACUCCCCAAAGGCCUAUGAGCAAACUCACUGCCUCUCAGUGCCAUGACAGCUUUGGUUGCUGACCUCUAGGGUGGACUGGAGGUCUCUGGAGCCAUUGAUUCUCUAUGCCGUGAAAUGGGAAUGGAAGACCCUGCAUAUGGGCCCUGACUCUGACUAUUCAAACAAACCCUUUGGGUUUGUUAAACUUUGCUGAGAGCUCUGCCUUCUUCAGGGGAAGUGUUGCCUGCUGAGUGCCAGCCUUACUCUAGAUUCAGAGAAAGACUUUGUCUCAAGGAAAUAAAGCAGAAGAGAUAGGGCAGG
rnacentral:lncRNA from 1 species